rnacentral:rRNA from 1 species
CCUACGGGAGGCAGCAGUGGGGAAUCUUGCACAAUGGGGGAAACCCUGAUGCAGCGACGCCGCGUGAGUGAAGAAGUAAUUCGUUUCGUAAAGCUCUAUUAGCAGGGAAGAACAUGCCGGUACCUGAGUAUGAAGCUCCUGCCAACUACUAGCCAGCAGCCGCGGUAAUACGUAGGGGGCACGCGUUAUCCGGAUUUACUGGGUGUAAAGGGAGCGUAGACGGCAGUGCAAGUCUGGAGUGAAAGGCGGGGGCUCAACCCCCGGAGGGCACUGGAAACUGUACGGCUGGAGUGCAGGAGAGGAAAGUGGAAUUCCUAGUGUAGCGGUGAAAUGCGUAGAUAUUAGGAGGAACACCAGUGGCGAAGGCGGCUUACUGGACUGUAACUGACGUUGAGGCUCGAAAGCGUGGGGAGCAAACAGGAUUAGAUACCCGAGUAGUC